rnacentral:rRNA from 1 species
UACAGAGGUCUCAAGCGUUGUUCGGAUUCAUUGGGCGUAAAGGGUGCGUAGGCGGCGCUGUAAGUCGGGUGUGAAAUCUCGGGCUUAACUCCGAAACUGCAUUCGAUACUGCCGUGCUUGAGGACUGGAGAGGAGACUGGAAUUUACGGUGUAGCAGUGAAAUGCGUAGAUAUCGUAAGGAAGACCAGUGGCGAAGGCGGGUCU